rnacentral:rRNA from 1 species
AGCGAACGCUGGCGGCAGGCCUAACACAUGCAAGUCGAACGAACUCUUCGGAGUUAGUGGCGGACGGGUGAGUAACACGUGGGAACGUGCCUUUAGGUUCGGAAUAACUCAGGGAAACUUGUGCUAAUACCGAAUGUGCCCUUCGGGGGAAAGAUUUAUCGCCUUUAGAGCGGCCCGGGUCUGAUUAGCUUGUUGGUGGGGUAAUGGCCCACCAAGGCGACGAUCAGUAGCUGGUCUGAGAGGAUGACCAGCCACAUUGGGACUGAGACACGGCCCAAACUCCUACGGGAGGCAGCAGUGGGGAAUCUUGCGCAAUGGGCGAAAGCCUGACGCAGCCAUGCCGCGUGGAUGAUGAAGGUCUUAGGAUUGUAAAAUCCUUUCACCGGUGAAGAUAAUGACUGUAGCCGGAGAAGAAGCCCCGGCUAACUUCGUGCCAGCAGCCGCCGUAA